rnacentral:rRNA from 1 species
AUUGAACGCUGGCGGAAUGCUUUACACAUGCAAGUCGAACGGUAGAGGGGGCAACCCCUUGAGAGUGGCGAACGGGUGAGUAAUAUAUCGGAACGUGCCCAGUCGUGGGGGAGUAACGUAGCGAAAGUUACGCUAAUACCGCAUACGAUCUAAGGAUGAAAGCGGGGGACGUCGCAAGACCUCGCGCGAUUGGAGCGGCCGAUAUCAGAUUAGGUAGUUGGUGGGGUAAAGGCUCACCAAGCCAACGAUCUGUAGCUGGUCUGAGAGGACGACCAGCCACACUGGAACUGAGACACGGUCCAGACUCCUACGGGGAGGCAGCAGGUGGGGGAAUUUUGGACAAUGGAGCAAGUCUGAUCCAGCCAUUCCGCGUGCAGGAUGAAGGCCC